AGCAUGGAAAUCCCCUGAGUGAAACAACGAAUUGCUGUGUGUAGUCUUUGCCCAUCUCCCACGAUGGGCUUUUUUUUGC
rnacentral:antisense_RNA from 1 species